rnacentral:rRNA from 1 species
AAAACGACUCUCGGCAACGGAUAUCUCGGCUCACGCAUCGAUCAAGAACGUAGCAAAAUGCGAUACUUGGUGUGAAUUGCAGAAUCCCGUGAACCAUCGAGUUUUUGAACGCAAGUUGCGCCCAAAGCCAUCCGGUUGAGGGCACGUCUGCCUGGGCGUCACC